AACCCAUUCCUGCUCUUCAGAAGUCUCAUGAAUAGGCUGCUCAGACAUUCCAGGCAAAAAAGAGCCUCAGGCAGGGCCUGGAUGGAACAUGGGCGUCCUGACCCAACUCCUCUGCUCUCUGCGGUCCUGCCUGCCAGCUGCUAGCAGGCACGCUGGGCUGACCCGGUGCCGGCUCCCCUCUGCGUCCCUGAGACACAGCGUGUCCGUCACCUGCAGGCCCAGUAGAGCAUCAGCGAUCACUUCAGCUGGUAUCCGCAGAAACCAGGCCGGGCUCCUGAGCUUCGCAUCUGUGAUACUAGUAACCGAAAGCCUGGAGUCCCACAGGUUCUCCGCGAGUCAGCUGGACACCGAAUUCAUCCUCAGAAUCAGCACGGUGGGGGCUGAGGGUCCUGCCAGUUAUCACUGCCCCGGGAGUAUACACUGCCCCCCAGGUGCCGCAACCGGAGCAUUAACCACAGGGACUGGGGUUCCAGCUGCGCCCUCCGCCUGUGGUCGGUUCGUGGGGGCAGGGUCUUCUUUGGGGACCGCCUCGGCAGGGCGCAAGGGCCAUGGCCUGCAAGGGACUUUGUCCUUGAAAAGCUUCCUGUUUGAACAACAGUGGAUGCUAUCAAAGGAGGCUUCUGGGUCAGGUCUGCAAAGGAAUUUGUCCACAGCAAGGUCUUUGAAUCCCUUCUCUGAGAAACACUCUGGGAGGUUUUUUGUUUUAAGAUCGAGAAUUAGGGACGCCUGGGUGUCUCAGUGGUUGAGGGUCUGCCUUUGGCUAAGGUCGUGA
rnacentral:lncRNA from 1 species